rnacentral:rRNA from 1 species
GACAGAGGGUGCAAACGUUGUUCGGAAUUACUGGGCGUAAAGCGUGUGUAGGUGGCUGCGUAAGUCGGAUGUGAAAGCCCUGGGCUCAACCCAGGAAGUGCACUCGAUACUGCGUAGCUCGAGUACCGGAGAGGUUGGUAGAAUUCUCGGUGUAGAGGUGAAAUUCGUAGAUAUCGAGAGGAAUACCUGUGGCGAAGGCGGCCAACUGGACGAGUACUGACACUGAGACACGAAAGCGUGGGGAGCAAACAGG